CAGCAGCCGCGGUAAUACGAAGGUCCCGAGCGUUGUUCGGAAUCACUGGGCGUAAAGGGAGCGUAGGCGGCGUGGUAAGUCAGAUGUGAAAUCCCGGGGCUCAACCCCGGAACUGCAUCCGAUACUGCCAUGCUAGAGAAUUGGAGAGGUAGCUGGAAUUCUUGGUGUAGCAGUGAAAUGCGUGGAGAUCAAGAGGAACACUCGUGGCGAAAGCGAGCUACUGGACAAUAACUGACGCUGAGGCUCGAAGGCCAGGGUAGCGAAAGGGAUUAGAUACCCCUGUAGUCCCUGUCUCUUAUAA
rnacentral:rRNA from 1 species